rnacentral:rRNA from 1 species
CACUCCUACGGGAGGCAGCAGUGGGGAAUUUUGGACAAUGGGCGAAAGCCUGAUCCAGCAAUGCCGCGUGCAGGAUGAAGGCCUUCGGGUUGUAAACUGCUUUUGUACGGAACGAAAAAGCUCCUUCUAAUACAGGGGGCCCAUGACGGUACCGUAAGAAUAAGCACCGGCUAACUACGUGCCAGCAGCCGCGGUAAUACGUAGGGUGCGAGCGUUAAUCGGAAUUACUGGGCGUAAAGCGUGCGCAGGCGGUUAUGUAAGACAGAUGUGAAAUCCCCGGGCUCAACCUGGGAACUGCAUUUGUGACUGCAUGGCUAGAGUACGGUAGAGGGGGAUGGAAUUCCGCGUGUAGCAGUGAAAUGCGAAGAUAUGCGGAGGAACACCGAUGGCGAAGGCAAUCCCCUGGACCUGUACUGACGCUCAUGCACGAAAGCGUGGGGAGCAAACAGGAUUAGAUACCCCAGUAGUCCCAUG